ACAAGCGGUGGAGCAUGUGGUUUAAUUCGAUGAUACGCGAGGAACCUUACCUGGGCUCAAAUGUAUGUUGACGUAUUCUGAAAGGGAUACUUCUUCGGACAAUAUACAAGGUGCUGCAUGGUUGUCGUCAGCUCGUGCCGUGAGGUGUCGGGUUAAGUCCCAUAACGAGCGCAACCCCUAUCAUUAGUUGCCAUCAGGUCAAGCUGGGGACUCUAAUGAAACUGCCUACGCAAGUAGUGAGGAAGGUGGGGAUGACGUCAAAUCAGCACGGCCCUUACGUCCAGGGCUACACACGUGCUACAAUGGCCGGUACAAAGGGCAGCUACCUGGUGACAGGAUGCUAAUCUCAAAAGCCGGUCUCAGUUCGGAUCGGAGUCUGCAACCCGACUCCGUGAAGCUGGGAUCGCUAGUAAUCGCGCAUCAGCCAUGGCGCGGUGAAUACGUUCCCGGGCCUU
rnacentral:rRNA from 1 species